rnacentral:tRNA from 1 species
GCAUGUGGCUUAGUGGUUAGGGCAUUCAGCUCAUGAUUGUGAAGUUGUGAGUUCAAUUCCCACUAAUGCA